UACGUAGGGUGCAAGCGUUGUCCGGAAUUAUUGGGCGUAAAGAGCUCGUAGGCGGUUUGUCGCGUCUGCUGUGAAAACCCGAGGCUCAACCUCGGGCCUGCAGUGGGUACGGGCAAACUAGAGUGCGGUAGGGGAGAUUGGAAUUCCUGGUGUAGCGGUGGAAUGCGCAGAUAUCAGGAGGAACACCGAUGGCGAAGGCAGAUCUCUGGGCCGUAACUGACGCUGAGGAGCGAAAGCGUGGGGAGCGAACAGG
rnacentral:rRNA from 1 species